rnacentral:rRNA from 1 species
UAAGUUGUUGCAGUUAAAAAGCUCGUAGUCGGAUUUUGGCUGAGAACGGUCGGUCCGCCGUUAGGUGUGCACUGACUGGUCUCAGCUUCCUGGUGAGGAGGUGUGCUUCAUCGCCACUUAGUCACCGUGGUUACUUUGAAAAAAUUAGAGUGUUCAAAGCGGGCUUACGCUUGAAUAUAUUAGCAUGGAAUAACACCAUAGGACUCCUGUCCUAUUUCGUUGGUCUCGGGACGGGAGUAAUGAUUAAGAGGAACAGUUGGGGGCAUUCGUAUUUCAUUGUCAGAGGUGAAAUUCUUGGAUUUAUGAAAGACGAACUUCUGCGAAAGCAUUUGCCAAGGAUGUUUUCAUUGAUCAAGAACGAAAGUUGGGGGCUCGAAGAUGAUUAGAUACCAUCCUAGUCUCAACCAUAAACGAUGCCGACUAGGGAUUGGCGGAUGUUAAUUGAUGACUUCGCCAGCACCUUAUGAGAAAUCAAAGUUUUUGGGUUCCGGGGGGAGUAUGGUCGCAAGGCUGAAACUUAAAGGAAUUGACGGAAGGGCACCACCA